rnacentral:rRNA from 1 species
GAGUAAUGUCUGGGAAACUGCCUGAUGGAGGGGGAUAACUACUGGAAACGGUAGCUAAUACCGCAUAACGUCGCAAGACCAAAGAGGGGGACCUUCGGGCCUCUUGCCAUCAGAUGUGCCCAGAUGGGAUUAGCUAGUAGGUGGGGUAACGGCUCACCUAGGCGACGAUCCCUAGCUGGUCUGAGAGGAUGACCAGCCACACUGGAACUGAGACACGGUCCAGACUCCUACGGGAGGCAGCAGUGGGGAAUAUUGCACAAUGGGCGCAAGCCUGAUGCAGCCAUGCCGCGUGUAUGAAGAAGGCCUUCGGGUUGUAAAGUACUUUCAGCGGGGAGGAAGGUGUUGAGGUUAAUAACCUCAGCAAUUGACGUUACCCGCAGAAGAAGCACCGGCUAACUCCGUGCCAGCAGCCGCGGUAAUACGGAGGGUGCAAGCGUUAAUCGGAAUUACUGGGCGUAAAGCGCACGCAGGCGGUCUGUCAAGUCGGAUGUGAAAUCCCCGGGCUCAACCUGGGAACUGCAUUCGAAACUGGCAGGCUAGAGUCUUGUAGAGGGGGGUAGAAUUCCAGGUGUAGCGGUGAAAUGCGUAGAGAUCUGGAGGAAUACCGGUGGCGAAGGCGGCCCCCUGGACAAAGACUGACGCUCA